rnacentral:rRNA from 1 species
UACGGAGGGGGCAAACGUUGUUCGGAAUUACUGGGCGUAAAGGGUGCGUAGGCGGUUCGGUAAGUCUAGCGUGAAAUCUCGUCGCUUAACGACGAAACUGCGCUGGAUACUGCUGAGCUCGAGGGUGGGAGAGGCUAGUGGAAUUCCUGGUGUAGCGGUGGAAUGCGUAGAUAUCAGGAAGAACACUCGUGGCGAAGGCGGCUAGCUGGCCCAUUCCUGACGCUGAGGCACGAAAGCCAGGGGAGCGAACGGG